AUUGAACGCUGGCGGCAUGCCUUACACAUGCAAGUCGAACGGCAGCGCGGACUUUGGUCUGGCGGCGAGUGGCGAACGGGUGAGUAAUACAUCGGAACGUACCCUGUUGCGGGGGAUAACUAGUCGAAAGAUUAGCUAAUACUGCAUACGACCUGAGGGUGAAAGUGGGGGACCGGAAACGGCUUCAUGCAGCAGGAGCGGCUGAUGUCUGAUUAGCUAGUUGGUGGGGUAAAGGCCCACCAAGGCGACGAUCAGUAGCUGGUCUGAGAGGACGAACAGCCACACUGGGACUGAGACACGGCCCAGACUCCUACGGGAGGCAGCAAUGGGGAAGUUUGGACGAUGGGGGCAACCCUGAUCCAGCAAUGCCGCGUUUGUGAAGAAGGCCUUCGGGUUGUAAAGCACUUUUGUCCUGGAAGAAAUCGCGCUGGUUAAUACCUGGCGUUGAUGACGGUACCGGAAGAAUAAGCACCGGCUAACUACGUG
rnacentral:rRNA from 1 species